rnacentral:rRNA from 1 species
AGUGAACGCUGGCGGUAGGCUUAACACAUGCAAGUCGAACGGCAGCACAGUAAGAGCUUGCUCUUACGGGUGGCGAGUGGCGGACGGGUGAGGAAUACAUCGGAAUCUACUUUUUCGUGGGGGAUAACGUAGGGAAACUUACGCUAAUACCGCAUAUGACCUACGGGUGAAAGCAGGGGAUCUUCGGACCUUGUGCGAUUGAAUGAGCCGAUGUCGGAUUAGCUAGUUGGCGGGGUAAAGGCCCACCAAGGCGACGAUCCGUAGCUGGUCUGAGAGGAUGAUCGGCCACACUGGAACUGAAACACGGUCCAGACUCCUACGGGAGGCAGCAGUGGGGAAUGUUGGGCAAUGGGCGCAAGCCUGAUCCAGCCAUACCGCGUGGGUGAAGAAGGCCUUCGGGUUGUAAAGCCCUUUUGUUGGUAAAGAAAAGCAGCAGGUUAAUACGCCGCUGUUCUGACGGUACCCAAAGAAUAAGCACCGGCUAACUUCGUG